rnacentral:tRNA from 1 species
UCCCUGGCAGUCCAGUGGUUAGGACUCAGCACUUUCACUGCAGCAGUCCUGGGUCCAAUCCCUGGUCAGGGAA